CUGGACUGGAAGGUUCCGGGCUCGACCCCACCAUGGCGGAGACGGCGCCGGCGACGCCGCUGGACAUCCACGAGAUCCCCUUCGCCGACCUCCUCCUCCUCCUGCUCUCGCCGGAAGCGGCAGCAGCGGGCGACGCCGAUGGCCGGCGGCGCCGCCUCCUGGCCACCGUCUGGGCCGCGCUCGGCCCGGGCGGCGCCUGCCUGCUGGCCGUCUCCGGUGUCCCGCGCGCCGCCGCCCUCCGCCGCCGGCUCCUCCCCCUGGCCCGCCGCCUCGCCCUCAUGGAUAACCCUUCCCGCGCCCGCCUCCUCAAGAAGCACGGAUUGGGCAGCGACGUUCCCCUCAAGAAGCCCGACAGGUCCGUCUCCUCCUUCGCGCAGCUCCUAAGGCAUGACCAUGAUUCAGGCAAGCUCCACUCCCCGGAGUCGACCACUGAAACCACCGGAGGCAUGGAGGUAAUCGCCGGUGUUGACGGAUUUGGGGAGAACAAGGGUGGUGAUGAUGGUGAUGAUAUUGAGAACCUUGGUGAGCUUUUCAAGGAGCUGGGUCUGUGCAUGAUGGAGCUUGGCAUCUUGGUUGCCCGGGCCUGCGACAUUGUUAUCGGUGGCAAUCAGCUGGAGCAGAGCAUUACCGACUUUGGGAGCGCAAAGGCGAGGCUCAUCCAUUACCACUCCGAGUUGGAUAGCAGGAUUAUCAAGGAGAGGAGCAGCACAAAGAGGAAAAGCUUGGUAAAUAAUGCAGCAGCAGCAGCAGCAAGACCUGUAUCAGAUCACAUGGAUACAGGUCAAAUGCCAGGAUCAGAAGAUGGAUCCUGUCUCAAAUCAGCAGAAGAAAAUAGUUUGAUUUCUCUUGUGAACUUAUGGCAAGAGUGGCACUACGACUACGGAGUGCUGACAGUCUUAACGGCGCCACUAUUCUUGCGCUCUGCUCUCGGACAGGAAUGCCCGGUCAGCGAAGAAUGCUCUCUUCCUGAUGGGCACUCACACCUGCAGCUCUUCGAUAAAAGGAGGAUAUUCUCGGUGAGAUGCUCCCAGGAGAGCUUCAUUGUUCAGGUUGGGGAGGCAGCAGGCAUCCUGUCAAGGGGGAAGCUGAGAUCUACGCUUCAUGCUGUCAGUAGACCUUUAGGCUUGCCAAACAUAAGCCGGGAGACUUUCGUAGUCUUCCUACAGCCGUCUUGGGACAAAACUCUGCCUUUCUCGGGUUACUCUUCUGCCGAUGAAGAAGAUGGUUCAAGUGAUCACAUGGAAUCAGCCGGGUCUUGUGGUGAACAUACAUUGAUGCAAGAAAUUCUGAAGAAAAUCCCCCCGCUGUCGUCAAGGCUGAAAGAAGGCAUGACGUUUGCAGAGUUUUCUAGGCAGACAACGAAACGGUAUUAUGGUGGUGGAGGCAUCCAACAGAACAGUUAACCAAGAAGAAGCAUGGCGAUGGAAAUGCAUCUCAUACAAACCGUAAUGAAGUACUGAGUUCUACACCCUUUGUGAAGUCACGGAGUUUUUAACAAGUACUUAUAUUUCGACCUCAAAAUCGCUGGCUUCCAAAAUUUGUUGGUCCGGUAGUUUAAAGUUAUAACUUCAUUAAAACGAGCAUUGCCCCUGUCCUUGUGUUGGUAAGUUUAGCUUCCUAAACUGAUAUUGAUUAUAGGGAUCGCAUCAACACAGGAGACCUCUCCAGUUAUGAUUGGCAAUUAGUCAACACAAUGCUCACUAGCUCAGUUGUAAAAAAUGUUAACUGUUUCAAAACUAUUGUUGUGCUCCACAUUCUCACUUUCUCUUUUUUCACUCCAAGACUGUUGGGUUCCUAGUGUUGCAUCAGAUCAGCUUAGUUCAACCAGAAGGCACGCUUGAAUUUGAAGCCUUCUUAAUUUUAUUCCAGAUCUAAGGUGUUAAAUUAUGGUAUGAUCCAUAUACAGUAGCAGGAAACCAUGUGCCUCUCUGGUUCGUUGGUAAUUUUAGCUUCCUAUACUGAUAUUGAUGGUAGAGAUCUCACGUCGACAGAGGAAAUCUGUCCAGCAAUGGUUGGCAAUUAGUCAACACAUGCCCAGCUGGAAAAGAAGUUAAAUGUUUGAAAAAUAUUAUUGACAUUCUACACUUUGCAGUAUCUCCUUUUCUUUCUAAGACUGUAGAGAUCCGAAUGGUGGGUUUGAACUCGAAGUCUACCUAAUUUUGUUCCAGAUCAGAGGUGUUAAAAGUAGGGUAGGAAAACCCUUCUCUGCUGUGCAUGCUGGAUAAUAGUUUUCCACUGUGAAUCAUUCAACUCCACUGUACAUGACUUGAAUAUUCUCGUGCCACAUUGGUGCGGUAUACAGUAGUGAUCUAUCUUGUUUUCCUCUGUUUUUUGUGAGCGAGGGUGAUCUACAU